rnacentral:lncRNA from 1 species
CCUUGGAGAAGCUGGCGUCAUAUUUUAUAUACACAGUCCCUGUACAGGGUUUCUGACCUGUGCACUGAAAGCUAAGCUGUGCUUUCAGAAAUCCCUGAGAACUGAAGCUAGACAACUUAAUCUUCAGAAGAAAAUAACAGCAACCUAUUUAUGUACAUAAGCCACUUUCAUACCUGCCUACUGAUAUAUGGACUUCAGAGUAUUGUGGACUAUAUUGAUUUUCCAGAAUUGUUCUUUUGUUUGUUAUUACUUUUCUCCCUUUCUCCCCCUGUUUUUUUUUUCACAACAAAUUGCUUUUAUUUUGGUAUGCAUCCACAUUUCAGCAUUUAGUGGUCCUGAACAGAAAGUGGAAAGACACAGCAAUUCAAUCCCCCCAAUUUUGGGGAUCUGCUGUGCACACUAGGUUCUUUCUUAAUCCCUGCUGAGGAACUUGAGAAGCAGCAGCAGCACCAAAACCAAGGCAUGCACCGGAUUCAAGGUUCUUUUUGUUCCAGUUGUCAGAUUCCAAACUAGACCCCAAUGUAUUGCAAGUAUGACCAAAUAAAAGCCCUGUUUAAAACUUCUUCUUUUUCUUUUCUUUUUUUUUUUUUUGAGACAGAGUUUCACUCUUGUUGCCUAGGCUGGAGUGCAAUGGCACGAUCUCAGCUCACUGC